AUUGAACGCUGGCGGCAGGCCUAACACAUGCAAGUCGAGCGGAUGAAGGGAGCUUGCUCCUGGAUUCAGCGGCCGACGGGUGGGUAAUGCAUAGGAAUCUGCCUGGUAGUGGGGGAUAACGUCAGGAAACGGGCGCUAAUACCGCAUACGUCCUGAGGGUGAAAGUGGGGGAUCUUCGGACAUCACGCUAUCAGAUGAGCCUAGGUCGGAUUAGCUAGUUGGUGGGGUAAAGGCCUACGAAGGCGACGAUCCGUAACUGGUCUGCGAGGAUGAUCAGCCACACUGGAACUGAGACACGGUCCAGACUCCUACGGGAGGCAGCAGUGGGGAAUAUCGGACAAUGGGCGAAAGCCUGAUCCAGCCAUGCCGCGUGUGUGAAGAAGGUCUUCGGAUCGUAAAGCACUUUAAGUUGGGAGGAAGGGCAGUAAGUGAAUACCUUGCUGUUUUGACGUUACCAACAGAAUAAGCACCGGCUAACUACGUG
rnacentral:rRNA from 1 species